UUAAAAAUGUAAAUUUUAUUACUAAAUUAGUAUUUGUUAUGUUCUUGAAAAUUAAAAAAUUUGGCGGUAUUUUAGUCUUUUCAGAGGAACCUGUUUUGUAAUUGAUAUUCCACGAUUAAUUAAACUUAUAUUUUUAAUUUGUAUAUCGCCGUAAUUGAAUAUUUUAUAAGAAUUUUAAUAUUCAAAAUUUAGUAUUAAAAAAUAUCAGGUCAAGGUGCAGUUUAUAUAUAAGUAAUAAUGGGUUACAAUAAAAAUAUUUAUAUGGAUUUAUAAUGAAAUUAUUAAUUAAAGUGGAUUUGAAAGUAAUUUUAGUUAAUUUACUAAAAUGAUUUGAGCUCUAAAAUAUG
rnacentral:rRNA from 1 species